GGAUCCUUUCCUUCUUUUGCUCUCCCUCUCGCUCCCUCCCUCUCUCUCCUGUCUCUCUCUCUCUCUCUCUCUCUCUCUCUCUCUCUCUCUCUCUCUCUCUCUCUCUCCCUCCCUCCUGUUUCUCUCCUGUUUCUCUCUCUCUUCCACACACUCACUCUCUGUAUUUUCUUCUUUCACUCUCUCUCCCUCCCUCUCUCCCUUUCUCUCAAUCCACACUCGCUAUCUCUCCAGCAUUGUCAGUUUGGACACCUUCGCACAUGCGCGCUAGACGCCCCUCCAACAUCUCAGCGCCGCCAAAAAAAGUUUGGAGCGAUUUAUCACUUUGAUUUGGAGAUCUUGUCAGAUGGCAAUCGCCGAGGAGGCGGAGAAAGGGAGCCGCGGGGAGGGCGGCGGGGGGCGGGGAGCGAACGCAGGGAGCCAGAGGGGAGCAGACACCUCGCCCAAAAAAAGGGGAGGGGGGAAUUGAAAAGGCUUGGGCAGAGGAUUGAUUCCAUGUUAGAAUCGCCAACAAGCUUGUAUCAUGAUUAUUGUUAUUGUUUUUCCCACCAUAAAUUGCAGACAUUUUUCUAUACCAUCUACGAGGGAAGCAAGAAGCCAGGGGGGAAAAAAACUUUAAAAACAUUUUUUAAAAACCCUUCUCCUGUUAAAGAACUAGAAGGGCUGGACCCUCGGCUAAUAAUCCAGGAGAAAGUGAGAAUCAUCCUGAACUUGAGAAAUCUACUGCUGCCGCUGCUACUGCUACUGAAGCUAUUGCAGCUUCCGCUUUCAGGGUUGUAAGCAGAAUAAAUAACUGGUUUUUUCCUCGAUUUUAGCUGUAAUACCAAUGCUUGCUGCCAUCCUUGGGACAUUUCAGUAUUCUUUCCCUACCAAGUAGUAAUGAUCACCCUUGAUUCCCGGGUCCGGGCCGGCGCUGGCAUUUGACAUCCAAAGACCUCCUGCUUUCUCAGAGGUCGGCUGUCACCUUCCGGCCUCCCCCACUGCUGCCCCGGUCGCCUCCCGAUGCAGCUCUGCUUGCCUGCCAUUUUCACUCACUCGCUUAAACCUACAACCUCGGGGUCAAAAGAAAGAGGAGUAGGGAGGAAAAUCACACACUCUUAAAAAAAUACAUUGUUGAAAUUUCCUUUAAUUACAGGAUUUACCAAUGAAGUGCCACUCAGAAAUGGGAAUUCCUAAAGGGGCUAGCUGUGUACAAGACCUAGAAUUCCCGCUGUCCUGUGCAUAAAGGUGAGUGUGCUAACACAUUUGGUGUGUGCAAAAGCACCAGCCAUUCCAACAUUCUGUUAGGUUCACACAGGUCUUUGACUCUGAAACUUCCCCCAAAAUGUGACUCCACCAGCUUCCCUCAGUUUAGAUGGAGAGGUGCCUACCCUCUGACCAGCAAAUGUCCUCCGAGGAAACGGAGAAAUGGGUCUUGAGAGGCUUUGGAAGGGGGGACAAAAUCUCUAGGGAGAGACAAACACUAGGCUGACUGGCAAGAAGUUCAUAAGGCUGCUUCUGAUCGGUGUAAGAGACUCUCUAGGGACCAUCCCCUAGGCCAGGGGACAGACCAGCAGCACCUGAAGAUCCCAGCUGUCAAAAUCUAGGUCUUGUCCCUCCAAUCCUCACCUUCCCUGCCAGGCACCCCAGGGGUGGCUGAGCACCUUGCCUUGGUGCCCAACCGCCAAGGUAGCUUAAAAAAAAAAAAGAAAGAGAAGAAAAGAAAAAAGAAAAGAACCGCCAUCCUCCCCUCCACUCCUCCGGCUAAUCCCUUUCACCUCAUCCCCAGGGGGUCUGUCUAUGUCUAGGUUCCCUUGGAGACGGGAGGUUAAGAGGGGUGCAAGAAAUGUUCCUAGGAAAGGAGGGGACCAAGGUACCAAACUCUGAGAUUAAAUGCAAGACCCACAUGUGAAGCUGAGCUUGCUGUUGCUGCUGAGAAAUUAUAAACCACGUGGAGGGUUGGGGAGGUAGGGGGUGGGUUCUGUGAGGGGAACUGGGUGGGAGGUGGAAGACUGAAGUGAAUCGGAGUCUCCGAACCUCCAAAUUUAAAGGUCCCCGUCUUUUAAACUUUUCUAGAAGGGGGGUUGGCGGAGUGGGAGGCGGAAUGAGGCGCGGCUGGAGUACCCCUC
rnacentral:lncRNA from 1 species